rnacentral:rRNA from 1 species
UUGGAGGGCAAGUCUGGUGCCAGCAGCCGCGGUAAUUCCAGCUCCAAUAGCGUAUAUUAAAGUUGUUGCAGUUAAAAAGCUCGUAGUUGAAUUUCGAGACCGGUUUACUGGUCGUGCUUUUGUACGUACUGGUAUUAUUGGUUUCUCCUUUCUGACGAAUCAUAAUGCCAUUAAUUUGGUGUUUUGGGGAAUCAGGACUGUUACUUUGAAAAAAUUGAGUGUUUAAAGCAGGCUCACGCUUGAAUACAUUAGCAUGGAAUAACGAAAUAGGACGUUUGAUUUUUAUUUUGUUGGUUUCUAGGAUCGACGUAAUGAUUAAUAGGGAUAGGUUGGGGGCAUUAGUAUUCAAUUGUCAGAGGUGAAAUUCUUG